UUCCUUGAUGCUCUCAACAACUCCAGACUUGAAUGUGUUUGGUUUCAGUCACCAACUAGAAUGGCAUGGGUCGGACCCGUGACGGGGCCUCAUUCCUGCGUUUAGUACAUAGCUGGAACGAGAAUCAAGUGAUUCCCACCGAGCGAAUAUUCGGGUGAUAUGCGGAACGCGCCGAUACCUCCAAAUCGGAGGAAUCGCGCGGAACCGGUCCUCUCGUCUCUCAGGGCCGCCGCCUCCGCCUCGUCUCUGCCGUCUCUCCCUCUGCUCUCUCAUAGCCACAGCGCUCCCAUCUGGGCGGCGGAUUGGGUAGCAACCGACAGGGGCCAGUGGUUGCUGGCGUCGGCCACACCCUAUAUGGUGGCCUAGCCUGCAGGGAGAUGGCUCCAAAUUUCUGGCGACGACUAGAUCUUUCGGGGAGCGACGGCGGCCUGAUCUGCUGGUGGGCGCGCGGCGGCGACCUGAUCUGCUGGUGGCCGGCGGCGGCCUGACUUGCCGAUGAGGAGCUGCGAAGAUAAGCCUGGUGUGGUAUUGUUCGACGAAGACUAGCAAGCGAGCAGCAUUGUUCAACGAAGACUAGCAAGCGAGCAACGCAGCCUGAAGCUUUACUCAGUGGACUAGUGGAGGCAGAGGAGCAGUGGCAGAUCGCUAAUGUGCAUCAUUAUCCUCUUUUCUUUUUUUCGUAUAUUUUUUAUUCUUCCUUGUAAAUUGAUCCCUUUUACGCUUGUAGAAAUGCGUUUUUUAGCCUCAAGGUCAUCUUGUAGAAAUGCUUCGGUGCAAGAGGAAAUAGUUGCAUAUAGGUUUGAUGUCAUAUUUAUAAUGCUGUGUGAAUGUACCUGGCCAAAGCGAAUCAAAUUCAUUAUGUUUCGUCUC